rnacentral:rRNA from 1 species
AGAGUUUGAUCAUGGCUCAGGACGAACGCUGGCGGCGUGCCUAAUACAUGCAAGUCGAGCGAGCUUGCCUAGAUGAAUUUGGUGCUUGCACCAAAUGAAACUAGAUACAAGCGAGCGGCGGACGGGUGAGUAACACGUGGGUAACCUGCCCAAGAGACUGGGAUAACACCUGGAAACAGAUGCUAAUACCGGAUAACAACACUAGACGCAUGUCUAGAGUUUAAAAGAUGGUUCUGCUAUCACUCUUGGAUGGACCUGCGGUGCAUUAGCUAGUUGGUAAGGUAACGGCUUACCAAGGCAAUGAUGCAUAGCCGAGUUGAGAGACUGAUCGGCCACAUUGGGACUGAGACACGGCCCAAACUCCUACGGGAGGCAGCAGUAGGGAAUCUUCCACAAUGGACGCAAGUCUGAUGGAGCAACGCCGCGUGAGUGAAGAAGGGUUUCGGCUCGUAAAGCUCUGUUGGUAGUGAAGAAAGAUAGAGGUAGUAACUGGCCUUUAUUUGACGGUAAUCACUUAGAAAGUCACGGCUAACUACGUGCCAGCAGCCGCGGUAAUACGUAGGUGGCAAGCGUUGUCCGGAUUUAUUGGGCGUAAAGCGAGUGCAGGCGGUUCAAUAAGUCUGAUGUGAAAGCCUUCGGCUCAACCGGAGAAUUGCAUCAGAAACUGUUGAACUUGAGUGCAGAAGAGGAGAGUGGAACUCCAUGUGUAGCGGUGGAGUGCGUAGAUAUAUGGAAGAACACCAGUGGCGAAGGCGGCUCUCUGGUCUGCAACUGACGCUGAGGCUCGAAAGCAUGGGUAGCGAACAGGAUUAGAUACCCUGGUAGUCCAUGCCGUAACCGAUGAGUGCUAAGUGUUGGGAGGUUUCCGCCUCUCAGUGCUGCAGCUAACGCAUUAAGCACUCCGCCUGGGGAGUACGACCGCAAGGUUGAAACUCAAAGGAAUUGACGGGGGCCCGCACAAG